rnacentral:rRNA from 1 species
AUUGAACGCUGGCGGCAGGCCUAAUACAUGCAAGUCGAGCGAGCGGCGGACGGGUGAGUAAUGUCUGGGAAACCGCCGGAUGGAGGGGGAUAACUACUGGAAAAGGCAGCUAAUACCGCAUACCAUCAGAUCUGCCAAGACGGUAUUAGCGAGAAGGUGAGGUAACGGCUCACCAAGGCGACGAUCCCUAGCCGGUCUGAGAGGAUGACCGGCCACACUGGAACUGAGACACGGUCCAGACUCCUACGGGAGGCAGCAGUAGGGAAUAUUGCACAAUGGGCGAAAGCCUGAUGGAGCCAUGCCGCGUGUGUGAAGAAGGUCUUCGGAUUGUAAAGCUCUGUCAGCAGGGAAGCGUUACCCAAAGAGGAAGCACCGGCUAACUCCGUGCCAGCAGCCGCGGUAAUUC